rnacentral:rRNA from 1 species
ACAACUCACAACAAUGGAUCUCUUGGCUCUGGCAUCGAUGAAGAACGCAGCGAAAUGCGAUAAAUAAUAUGAAUUGCAGAAUUCAGCGAAUCAUCGAGUUUUUGAACGCACAUUGCGCCCUCUGGUAUUCCGGAGGGCACGUCCGACCGAGCGUCGCGUCACCGCUCAGGCUCAGCCUGGUGAUGGGGCAUGCGGGCAACCGCAGCUCCCAAAUGCAGUGGCGGUUCCCAUCGGGUUCCCUUGCGCAGUAGAAGCAACUCGCUGUCGCCUCGGAGUCUCGCGUGGGCGACCUGCCGUAAAACACCCAACGUCUUCCACUGGUUGACCUCGGGUCGGACGAGAUUACCCGCUGAACUUAAGCAUAUCAAUAAGCGGAGGAAAAGAAACCAACAGGGAUUGCCUCAGUAACGGCGAGUGAAGCGGCAACAGCCCAGAUUUGAAAUCUGGCCCUCGGGCCCGAGUUGUAAUCUGCAGAUGAGUCUUCCGGCAGAGCGCCGUCCAAGUGCCCUGGAACGGGCCGCCGGAGAGGGUGAGAGCCCCGUACCGACGCGCGCCGAGCCUCUGUGAAGCUCAUUCGAAGAGUCGAGUAGUUUGGAAAUGCUGCUCUAAUUGUGGGGUAAAUCUCCCAUAAGGCUAAAUACCGGCCAGAGACCGAUAGCGCACAAGUAGCGUGAGCGAAAGAUGAAAAGAGCCUUGAACAAGGGCGUCAAAAAGCAUGUGAAAUUGUUGUGGGGGAAGCGUUCGAUGCCAGACAUGGCGGCGGUUGGUUACCCGGCGUUCUUCGCCGGCGCACUCUGCCGUCGCCAGGCCAGCAUCAGUUUGGACCGAGGCCCACUGCCAGCGGGAACGUGGCUCUUUCGGGAGUGUUAUAGCCCGUUGGUAACGUCUCGGACCAGACUGAGGACCGCGCUUCGGCUCGGAUGCUGGCGUAAUGGCCUCUAGCGACCCGUCUUGAAACACGGACCAAGGAGUUGACCUAGCGUGCGAGUGUUUGGGUGUCAAGCCCUUACGCGCAGUGAAAGCGAAUGCAGGUGGGAGCUUCGGCGCACCAUCGACCGAUCCUGAAGUUUACGGAUGGAUUUGAGUAAGAGCACGUUGGGUCUGACCCGAAAGAAGGUGAACUAUGCAUGAAUAGGGUGAAGCCAGAGGAAACUCUGGUGGAGGCUCGCAGCGGUUCUGACGUGCAAAUCGAUCGUCAAAUUUGUGCAUGGG